rnacentral:miRNA from 1 species
UGAUGAUGAUGAUGAUGAUGAUGAUGAUGAUGAUGAGACGGACGAUUGUCAUCAUCAACACCAUCAUAAUCG